rfam:Myotis brandtii contig158287, whole genome shotgun sequence.
AGGCCUGGAGAGAAAGGCAGUGUCUGAUUCGCAGCCUCCAUGGCAGCUGUUGAUCAGCCCUUGCCUCUCUCUUUCUCUCCA